AUCCAUUUCACCCUUUGUGCAUCACCGCGCAGGGUCGCUCCCUCUUGGCUUGCUUCGAGAGGGGGAGGCUCGCGUUUUUCACACAUAAACACCCUUCUAGUUUAGAAUGUCAUUCAUUUGCGAUAACACGCAAUCAAUACAACUUUCAACAACGGAUCUCUUGGCUCUCGCAUCGAUGAAGAACGCAGCGAAAUGCGAUACGUAAUGUGAAUUGCAGAAUUCAGUGAAUCAUCGAAUCUUUGAACGCAUCUUGCGCCCCUUGGUAUUCCGAGGGGCACACCCGUUUGAGUGUCGUGAAAUUCUCAAACCUUCUUGGUUUCUUGAUCAAGAUGGCUUUGGACUUUGGAGGUGUUUUGCUGGCUUUGUGAAAAGCCAGCUCCUCUUAAAUGCAUUAGUGGGGUCCCCUUUGCCGAUCCCCAGGCGUGAUAAGAUGUUUCUACGUCUUGGGAUUUGCUCUGUUCCUUGGGAACCCGCUUCUAACUGUCUCAUGGGAGACAUCGUUCGAGUUUGCUCGACCCACGAACCUUGACCUCAAAUCGGGUGAGACUACCCGCUGAACUUAAGCAUAUCAAUAAGCGGA
rnacentral:rRNA from 1 species